rnacentral:rRNA from 1 species
AUUGAACGCUGGCGGCAUGCUUUACACAUGCAAGUCGAACGGUAACAGGCCGCAAGGUGCUGACGAGUGGUGAACGGGUGAGUAAUGCAUCGGAACGUGCCCAGUCGUGGGGGAUAACUACUCGAAAGAGUAGCUAAUACCGCAUACGAUCUAUGGAUGAAAGCGGGGGACCGUAAGGCCUCGCGCGAUUGGAGCGGCCGAUGUCAGAUUAGGUAGUUGGUGGGGUAAAGGCUCACCAAGCCAACGAUCUGUAGCUGGUCUGAGAGGACGACCAGCCACAACUGGAAUGAGGCACGGCCCCAGCUCCCACGGGAGGCAACCGGGGGGAAAUUUUGACCAUGGGGGGAAAGCUUAUCCCACAAUUGCGGGGGGAGGAAGGAGGCCUUCCGGGUUGUAAACUGUUUUGUUAGGAAAGAAACGGCUCUGGUUAAUUCCCCGGGGUAAUGGCGGUUCCGGAAAAAUAAGCACCGGCUAACUACGUG